rnacentral:rRNA from 1 species
GACGAACGCUGGCGGCGUGCCUAAUACAUGCAAGUAGAACGCUGAAGGAGGAGCUUGCUUCUCUGGAUGAGUUGCGAACGGGUGAGUAACGCGUAGGUAACCUGCCUGGUAGCGGGGGAUAACUAUUGGAAACGAUAGCUAAUACCGCAUAAUAGUAGAUGUUGCAUGACAUUUGCUUAAAAGGUGCAAUUGCAUCACUACCAGAUGGACCUGCGUUGUAUUAGCUAGUUGGUGGGGUAAUGGCUCACCAAGGCGACGAUACAUAGCCGACAUGAGAGGGUGAUCGGCCCACCUGGGACUGAGACACGGCCCAGACUACUACGGGAGGGAGCAGUAGGGAAUCUUCGGCAAUGGACGGAAGUCUGACCGAGCAACGCCGAGUGAGUGAAGAAGGUUUUCGGAUCGUAAAGCUCUGUUGUAAGAGAAGAAAGAGUGUGAGAGUGGAAAGUUCACACUGUGACGGUAUCUUAUCAGAAAGGGACGGCUAACUACGUG